rnacentral:rRNA from 1 species
GCACAAGCGGUGGAGCAUGUGGUUUAAUUCGAUGCAACGCGAAGAACCUUACCAGGACCUGACAUGUCGCGAAUUUUUGGGAAACCAGGAAGUGCCUUCGGGAACGCGAACACAGGUGGUGCAUGGCUGUCGCCAGCUCGUGUCGUGAGAUGUUGGGUUAAGUCCCGCAACGAGCGCAACCCUCGUGCUUAGUUGCCAGCAUUAAGUUGGGCACUCUAAGCAGACUGCCGGUGACAAACCGGAGGAAGGUGGGGAUGACGUCAAGUCAGCAUGCCCCUUACGUUCUGGGCUACACACGUACUACAAUGCUACGGACAAAGGGCAGCUAGACAGCGAUGUUUUGCCAAUCUCAUAAACCGUGGCUCAGUCCAGAUUGCAGGCUGCAACUCGCCUGCAUGAAGGCGGAAUCGCUAGUAAUCGCCGGUCAGCCAUACGGCGGUGAAUACGUUCCCGGGC